CCCCUCUCAGGGUCGCACCUGGAGAGUUCCAGUACUCUACCAGUCUCGGCUACGGGAGGGAGAGUCAAGCAGAGGCAUAUCCAUUCCAUUCCUAGCUUGGACAGUUGCUAGUGAGUAGAAGGCAAUCUGCUAUAAGU
rnacentral:snoRNA from 1 species